rnacentral:rRNA from 1 species
CCUACGGGGGGCAGCAGUGGGGAAUAUUGCACAAUGGGCGAAAGCCUGAUGCAGCCACGCCGCGUGAAUGAAGAAGGCUUUCGGCUCGUAAACUUCUAUCAACAGGGACGAAAGCAAUGACGGUACCUGAAUUAUAAUCUCCCGCUAACUACGUGCGAGCAGCCGCGGUAAGACGUAGGGGGCGAGCGUUAACCGGAAUUACUGGGUGUAAAGGGUGAGUAGGCGGCAUGGUAAGCCAGAUGUGAAAGCCUUGGGCUUAAACCGAGGAUUGCAUUGGGAACUAUCAGGCUAGAGUACAGGAGAGGAGAGCGGAAUUCCUAGUGUAGCGGUGAAAUGCGUAGAUAUUAGGAAGAACACCAGUGGCGAAGGCGGCUUUCUGGACUGAAACUGACGCUGAGGCACGAAAGCGUGGGGAGCGAACAGGAUUAGAUACCCGUGUAGUC